ACUCUGCGGACAAGAUCACAAGCGCAUCAGGGAUGCACUCCUAUCAUUUCUAACCUGAAUCAUUGAAAAACUAUGUGGGGAAAAUGGAUGAGGAAGUAAGGAUGCAUAUGGAGACGCAUUGGAAAGGAAAACAAGAGAUCACUGUCUUACCCUUAAUGAAGAAGCUAUCGUUCGAUGUCAUUUGCUCCCUUCUAUUUGGAAUCGAGCAAGGAGGAACUCGAAGAGAUAAGCUUGUGACUUGGUUCCAACAAAUGAUAGGAGGAAUAUGGUCAGUCCCCAUUAACUUUCCAUUCACACGCUUCAAUCGUGGCCUUCGUGCAAGUGCAAGGGUUCGAAACUUUUUGAAGGAUCUCAUAGCUGAAAAAAGGAUGGGGCUGAAAAAGGGUGCUGAUCCUCACCAGGACCUCAUCUCUUGCUUGCUUAGCACCCGUGAUGAAAACAAUGGAGAAGGGAUGACCGAGAAGGAGAUUGUGGAUAAUGUUAUUCUUGUUUUGACUGCAGGACAUGACACUUCAGCUAUUCUGAUAACUUUCAUGACCGGCUUUUAGCUAUUGAACCUUCAAUCUACGCAGCUGUUCUUCAAGAACAAGAAGGGAUAGCUAAAAGCAAGCCCAGGGGAGAGUUGUUAACUUGGGAGGACCUUGCCAAGAUGAAGUACACAUGGAAAGUAGCAUUGGAAACUUUGAGAAUGUUCCCUCCAAUCUUUGGUGGCUUCAGGAAAGCUGUUAAGGAUAUAGAAUACAACGGAUACAUCAUUCCUGAAGGGUGGCAAAUAUUCUGGACAAUGAAUAUGACUCACAUGGAUGACAGCAUAUUCACCGAACCAUCGAAGUUUGAUCCGACCAGAUUCGACAACCAAGCUUCAAUCCCACCUUACAGCUUUAUUGCAUUCGGAGGAGGGCCUCGGAUGUGUCCAGGAUAUGAAUUUGCAAAAAUCGAAGCCCUUGUUACAAUCCAUUAUCUGGUCACUCAAUUUACAUGGAAGUUAAGUGCAGAUACUAGUUUCAAUAGGAAUCCAAGGCUCAUGCCAUCGGAAGGGUUACCAAUCAAAAUCAUACCAAAGAAAUAAAAUGAAAGCUCUAUUUUCUCCCCCUCGCUGCACCCCUAAUUCAGAAAAAUAAAUUGCAGUGUCAGCUUAUCUCGUAGCCCUUCCCGCGUAUGCGCGUAUGAUUUUUUUUUUUCAUAAUUAUCAUGUAAUUGUUUGGUAACGUAAUGUUAUGUUUAUCUAAUUGUUAUUUUAGAUAACUUUGGAAUACAUAUUUUUAUAUAUUUUAGGCAUGCUUAUAAUUUUUUUUUUAUCAAUUAUUAUUACUCGAUAAAUAGAUCCUUAAUUAUGCUUGAGUAUUCCAUAUAUACACUUUAAUUUUCUUUUUAGUAUUUUCUAAAUUCAUUGUCUUAGAAAAAAAAUAAUUUUCUUUUUAGUAUUUUUUGUGGUUAGUGUGCUUGUGGAAAAACAAAAAGUCAUAUUACAUUCUACGAAUUUAACAUAUAUUUUUGUCUAGAAAUUCUUUAUAUAACAAUCAAUAAAAAUGCACCUGGAUUAUUUUAUCAUAUCGUUGUUCUUUAAUGAAGAAACGAUGUUGAGGAAAGUUGUCUUUGCUGAUUAGAGGUCAGAUCAGCUAAGACGAAACAUUUUUUAACUUUCUUUGACCGCCCAUUGAACUCAGGCCUCAACCAAGGAUCAUAAGCCCCACACCUUUGCGUGAGUGUUUUUUUUUUUUUGGCUAAGUGUCACUAGAUCAACCGACCAUUGGUCUCUGAUCCUCUGGUAAUCAAUUGAAGACUGCCUGUAGUUGUCUUUGUUGGAGGUACUGUCCUUGAUGAAGACGCUAACAUUCAACAUCAUCUGCUCUUCUGUUUGGAAUCGAACGAGGAGCUAGAAGAAAUAAACUUGUUAAUUGGUUUCAGCAGAUGAUGGAAGGGGUGUGGUCAAUCCCCUUCACAAGCUAUAACCGUAGCCUUCAGGCAAGUGCAAGGAUUCGAGAUAUGGGGAAGGAUCUCAUAGGUGAAAAGAGGGUUGGAACUUGCACAGAAGAGUUCUGAUCCACGCCAAGAUCUCAUCAGUUGCAUGCUUAGCACUCGUGAUGAAAACAAUAGAGAAGUAAUAACUGAGAAGGGGAAUUGAGGACAAUGGCAUGCUUGUUAUGACUGCAGGACAUGACACUUCAUCUAUUCUGAACAUGAACAGAUCACGAUGAACAAGCAGAAGGGACAGUUGUUAACUUGGGACGACCUUGCUAAGAUGAGUUACACGUGGAGAAUAGCACAGGACUUGAGAAUCUUCCCGCCUGUCUUCGGUUGCUUCAGGCAAGCCGUGAAAGAUAAAGAAUACAAUGGAUACCUUAUUCCUUAAGGGGUUUUUUUCUCUUUGUUGCUUUCGUGCACAACAUUUAUCGAAACACUUCAUUUAUGAUAUUUAGAUUUUCUGGGUAAUAAAUAUGACCCACACA